GAUGUUGUUUUUCUGGAUUCAUUUGCGUAUGGGACUGACAAUGUUAACUUCUUACGAUUCAAGUUUUUCUUUCCUUCAAAUCCUCAUAACUAUGAACUUGUGAUGUUUGGUGAUUCUGUCAAUCAGUGGCCUUUUAUCAGACAAAAUGAAGAAAGUUUGUCAUGCACUGAAAAAGUUUCCAAAAUCAUAGACCCGAGUUUCAAGGUCAACCUGAGUGAAUCAUCAGACCAGUGUAAAGUGACUUGGAAAUCAAAA